UUUAAAGAGAGUUUGAUCCUGGCUCAGGACGAACGCUGGCGGCGUGCCUAAUACAUGCAAGUCGAACGAACGGAGGAAGAGCUUGCUCUUCCAAAGUUAGUGGCGGACGGGUGAGUAACACGUGGGCAACCUGCCUGUAAGUUGGGGAUAACUCCGGGAAACCGGGGCUAAUACCGAAUGAUAGAAUGUGGCGCAUGCCACGC
rnacentral:rRNA from 1 species